ACAAGGAGGGAAGGUUAACCAGGCUCAGGUGAAAGCAGUCAGGCAAUUAAAUGUGAGAAGAGAGGAAGUGAAGGGAUAAACUGAAACAGGAAGUACAGACUUUAUUCAGAAACCAACAGAAACAGGUGGACUAAGGCUCAGGGAGCAGAUAAAGGAAAACAUAGAACAAAAUAUACAGAGACUUCACCAAACCAGUGCUAAGAAAAUUUUACCAGAAGACGAGAAGAGCUUUAGUUUUGAGGCUGAGAAGAUUUCCAAGAGUCCCAACUUCCGUGCAACCUCAGCUUUGUUCUUUUUUCUUAUUCAAAUCAUUUUUGCUCUCUUUUGUCUUUUUCUAUUUGUCUUAUUUACUGCUGCUUCUGUUGUCAUCCAUGUCUCAGUUUUUCCCACUUUAUCCAUUUCCUAUGUGUAUGCAAUAUUUCUACCCUUCUUUCCCUUCAUUCUUAAAAUAUUUAGUUGGCUACCUUUACAAAAGUACCGUCUAGCAACAGCAAUUAUAAGCAAACGAAAGACGAGGGAAAUUUAGAUUGAUACAGUAAGAUGGAUUAAUACAGACAGCAAAACCAAGGAGGACGUUUAUAAAAGAGAGAAAGGACAAAAGAGUCACUUCCAGGAAGACUGACAAGUGGGUCAGCGUGGCAUGUUGGAUAGGAGAAAUAUACAAAAUCACAUCCUCAUAUCUCUGUUUAGCAUCAGAACUCGUAUUGAACUUUCAUCAACCAACGGUGCAUCAUGCCACAGGAGAAACAAAAAUGUCAGAGGCAGCUGGAAGACGCCACAGACGCAUUCGACGAUUUAAACUGACAAAGGAGCCGUUGUCCUGCUGCUUUCAUGACUCUGGUGUUUGUGAGCCCGCAGGCAGGUUGUCAGAUGCACAACAGCACCGAGACGUAUUGAAAUCUGCAGCAUAUCUGAUAAUGAAUGUGGAGCCGCGCAGUUUCUGCGCUCAUAAUAAAAUACUAGUUUGGGGAUGUCAUUGUUACAUGAAGUUAAAGUGACAAACGGAGGAGAAAAGCAGCUUUGACAGCUUGUUGUGUUGCUGGAUAAUUGUUUGUUUUGACAAGAUGAUAAAUUAACAGUUUUCUAUGAAAUGUUUAUUUUUGGAUGUCAGGAGAAAAGCUUGUUGUGUAUAGGUCACGUAGGAACUUUCUUGUGAUCACAAGCAAACAAAGUAACAAAGACGGUUGAUUUGAGUUUUAAAGGAGCGGAGAGUUUUUCUUUUACAACCUCUGUCCUAUUUUUAUUUUUAAGCAUUUUUGUCAAGCUUUAAAUGUAGUAAAGUUAUCUUUUAUCCAGGGUUUUGUGGCUUUCAAUGCCAUAUACCAUUAAGAAUUUUUAUUUUACGAGUGAGAAAAAAAAAUUGCAGGAGUGAGAGCAAAUAAAAGUGAUAGAAGCAGAUUAUCUGUGCAUAGAGAUGGAGCUGAUCCAGUUUGGGACGUAAAGCCAUAAGUCAAAAAUCCAUUAAGUCAGGGAAAAGAAAAAAGAUUUUAAUAUUAAUAAAGAGAAAUUAGAUUUUAGGAGCUCUAUUACAGCCUUAGAAUAUAUUGUCACACUCUUAAGAGCCACUUUUCCUCCUCUUGUUUGUGGUGCUUAGUCUGAUUUUGCUUAAUAAUUGGAGCUGUAGUGUUUAACCAAGAACUUACUCAAAAUUUCUCAACUGGUUGGCAUAAAAACUUUCACAUAUAAUCUUAUUUUUAGGCACUUUAAGCUUUUGUCAACGUAUGCAGACAUAUUCAUACAACUUGAACUCUUUCAAUAUUUUUUUUAUUUUGCAGCUUUAAACUCCAACUUCAAACCUGCCGAGUUUGUGACUGUCCAAUCCAACUGACAACUAGGGUAAGAAAGAUAGCCUCUCGUCCCCAUGAUAGUGCAGUCGACAGACUGAGAAUCCAGGAAACCUCUGCGGAUGUUUUGAGUUAGAUGAUUAGUCCAUACCACAAUGAGUUUCCAAAAUGUUUUUCAAUAUAUUCUAAUUUUCUGAGAUACUCAAUUUUAUGAUCUGUAAAACAUAAUCAUCGGUAAUACAAGAAAAAAAAAGGCUUGAAAUAUUUCACUUUGUGUUUAAUGAAAUAAUAUGAGCUUCAGGUUCCUAAAUGAGUGGCAAAACGUUUUUACCAUAUUCUAUUUUUCUGAUAUUCUGUAUAUCUGCAUGAAUCAAUAGAUGUGGGGCCUGAAACAAUAACUGCUGAGUUUCUGCACCACUUUCUACUCUGAAAAUGACUUGAGGAACGCCAAAGUGGUGAAGUGACUCUGAAAUGCAAGAAUUUGUAUUUCUGUGUCCACCUUCUAUAUGCUGCAAACUUACAUUUACAACCACAUAAAGAAGAUGCCUUGCAGACAGUUGUUAAAUCUGAACCCAAUAUUAACAUCUUCUGUACAAAAUACGUGUUUCUUUUUUAUGAUGAUUAAAUGGCUUCACAACUCAUCAAGAGGGCUGCUAAUAAACUCUUUAAAAGUGCUACAACUAAGAA